GGGAAAAAAGGGCAGGAACAGAAUGAAACUUUGAUUAGAAAAGAAAAAAUAAUCCAGGACAGACAAUGAAAAAGUGUUCAUAGUAAUGUUUUUGUUGUGAUGAACCUUGUAACUUAUUGAUUGGGUUUCCAGACUUGAGAUGUGAAGGAAAAAAAGAGAAGGGUCAGAAUGAAACUACGAUUAGAAAAGAAAAAAAAAAUCCAGUAUAGGAAAUGAAAAAGUGUGUUUCUUAUAGUAAUGUUAUGUCGUGAACUAGUAACUUAUUGAUUAGGUUUCCAGACUUGAGGUGUGAAGGGAUAAAAGAGAAGGGUCAGAAUGAAACUACGAUUAGAAAAGAGAAAAAAUCCAGGAUAGAAAAUGAACAAAUGUGUUUCUUAUAGUAAUUUUAUGUUGUGAAAUUGUAACUUAUUGAUUGGGUUUCCAGACUUGAGAUGUGAAGGGAUAAAAGAGAAGGGUCAGAAUGAAACAAUGAUUAAAAAAGAGAAAAAAUCCAGGAUAGAAAAUGAACAAAUGUGUUUCUUAUAGUAAUGUUAUGUUGUGAACUAGUAACUUAUUGAUUAGGUUUCCAGACUUGAAGUGUGAAGGAAAAAAAGAGAAGGGUCAGAAUGAAACUACGAUUAGAAAAGAAAAAAAAAAUCCAGUAUAGGAAAUGAAAAAGUGUGUUUCUUAUAGUAAUGUUAUGUUGUGAACUAGUAACUUAUUGAUUAGGUCUCCAGACUUGAGGUGUGAAGGAAAAAAAGAGAAGGGUCAGAAUGAAACCGAUUAGAAAAGAAAAAAAAUCCAGGAUAGAAAAUGAAAAAGUGUGUUUCUUAUAGUAAUUUUAUGUUGUGAAAUUGUAACUUAUUGAUUAGGUCUCCAGACUUGAGGUGUGAAGGAAAAAAAGGGAAGGGUCAGAAUGAAACUACGAUUAGAAAAGAAAAAAAAUCCAGGAUAGAAAAUGAAAAAGUGUGUUUCUUAGAGUAAUGUUAUGUUGUGAAAUUGUAACUUAUUGAUUGGGUUUCCAGACUUGAGGUGUGAAGGAAAAAAAGAGCAGGACCAAAAUGAAACUAUGAUUAGAAAAGAAAAAAAAAAUCCAGGAUAGAAAAUGAAAAAGUGUGUUUCUUAGAGUAAUGUUAUGUUGUGAAAUAGUAACUUACUGAUUGGGUUUCCAGACUUGAGGUGUGAAGGAAAAAAAGAGAAGGGUCAGAAUGAAACUACGAUUAGAAAAGAAAGAAAUCCAGGAUAGAAAAUGAACAAAUGUGUUUCUUAUGGUAAUUUUAUAUUGUGAAAUUGUAACUUAUUGAUUGGGUUUCCAGACUUGAGGUGCGAAGGGACAAAGAGAGCAGGAUGAGAAUGAAACUAAACGAAACUAAAAUCCAGGGCAGAUUAUUGAGAAAAAAAACAUCCAUUACGCGAACCUUCCGGCAAAAGAAGACGCUUGAUCUCAGUACUAUAUAUCUCGUCCUUCAGCAUUUCGACCUUCUCCCUUCCGCAGUAUCCCUCAUUUCCUUCGCUUAGUGCAUAUGUUCUCCGCCUGAUCAUACACUUCACUGCCAAACUAGCGGAACUUUAGGUCUACUUGCCACUGUGUUAUGUGCAAUCCUCACCUUCACUGCAAGUCAUCGUAAAGUUAUGGAAAGCAGUUUUUUUAAUCAUUGUUUUUGUAUAUCUUUAAGGUUGAUAUGUUCUAAUAUUGCACAUUCAUUCGUUUUAACAUGACGUAAAAGCUCAAUAACCAGUUUUAAAUGCUGCCUAAUGUUGACUAUAUGAUGCUGGGGCGUUAGAGUGUUGAGGCUCGCUGGGUCCUGGAGCAUGCUAGGCUAGGCUAAGUGUUGGUGGUGAUGGGAUUCAAGUCUGUUUGUGGAUGGACUGAAUCCCUUUCCUUCCUCCUUGGGUUGAUUGACGGUCUGAUUGAUUGAUUCACUGAGUCUAAUGUUAACCUUUAGAGUUAUUCAGAAAAAAACAUAUUACACACACAUACACACACACACAUGCACAAAGACACACACACACACAUGCACAAAGACACACACACACACACACACACACAGAGAUACUUAACACUCUAACGCAUCAACUUCGAUUGUUUGUAGGAAAAAAAUAAAAUAAAUUCCCCCUCAUGAGGCCAUUGGUUGUUGUUUGAGUUGACCUGACCUCGGCAAGGCCACCAGGGAGCCUUGCUAAGCGAAGGCCUGUAUGAGCCGUGCCUCGGGGUCAGGUGUGCGGGCCGGGACCAGAUCGGGCUACGAGGUCACUUCCAGGAAGGUCGUCCCGUUGGUUCUAUCCGGGAGUGUUCGCCAAAAGGUGCCAUUCAUUCUCAUUAGCAUGCACACCUGGAGAAAGAUUUACCUGGAGAGCUGAGGCAAUGUGUAAAUUUUAAAUACUGUCCGAUGCAAGUUUAAUGAUUACGCUUGACACAGUAUUUGACUUUGUACUUUCUCACAGCUUUCCACAGUGCAUCUAUUUUUUUCCUUGUGAUCAUUUAGGCGGCUUUUCCGAUACCCUACGCCCCUGUCCACCCAGCGGUAAAUGGGUACCAGGUAUUAAUCAGGGGUUGUGUCCUGUCUCCUGGUACCUGUUCCCUUCUACAAUUCCUUCCCCUUCUGUCUCUCUCCGGCAUAUGACCACAGAUGUUGCGCCGACUAAACGAAACUUUCCAAACUUUCCUUGUGAUCACCUAGAGAAAAAUAUCCCUGGAGAGCUGAGCUAAUGUAUAAAAGUGAAAUAUUGUGCGAUUCAAGUUUGGUCAUCACAGUUUGCAGAAUAUUUGACUUUGAUUCAUCGUCUUGGCCUCUCAGAGUGUGUUGAUUUUAUUUCUUGUGGGUGCUAAUUGGAAUGAUGUGAGCUGACUGGCCGACACAUCCCACCAUCGCUUCUAUUGACCAGCCGCGACAGAGUGUUACUGAGCCAACACUUCACUGCGCUCUGUGUUCCUUAACCCUAGACUCAUGCAAGGAAUGACUUAGACCUACUGAUUUGUAAUAAAACUUUAUCAAUCAAGAGUAUGCAAUAAAUUAUAUAUGAAAUA